ACCUCAUCUUCCCCUGUUCCCCAUUAUUCCCACACAUGCACACACACGUCAAUUACCCACAACACACUUCUAUAUAUCUAUACAAGCACAACAAACACAAAAAAAGGACACAUACAACAAAGGAGAUUAGAAAAACCAAAGAAGAGAGGAGAGGGGGAGAGUACAACACUGGAAAACAACAAUUGAAGAAAAAGAAAGAAUACUUUGAGAAAAAAAUGCACUAAGAGAGAGAAAGAAAAUACAGAAAAAAGGGAGG
rnacentral:lncRNA from 1 species